rnacentral:rRNA from 1 species
UACGUAGGGAGCAAGCGUUGUCCGGAAUCAUUGGGCGUAAAGCGCGCGUAGGCGGCCCCGUAAGUCCGCUGUGAAAGUCAAAGGCUCAACCUUUGAAAGCCGGUGGAUACUGUGGGGCUAGAGUCCGGAAGAGGCGAGUGGAAUUCCUGGUGGAGCGGUGAAAUGCGCAGAUAUCAGGAAGAACACCCGUGGCGAAGGCGGUUCUCUGGGACGGUACUGACGCUGAGACGCGAAAGCGUGGGGAGCGAACAGG